rnacentral:snoRNA from 1 species
GGGAUGUGAUGAGUGGUCGACACUCGCACUGAACAUGCGAGAUGGGUGUCCAGCCUAAGCCUGGUUACGACAAUAUGGGCACUCUCAUUUUCACCAAUCUGAUCCC